rnacentral:rRNA from 1 species
ACGAACGCUGGCGGCAUGCCUAACACCUGCAAGUCGAACGAGACCUUCGGGUCUAGUGGCGCACGGGUGCGUAACGCGUGGGAACCUGCCCUUAGGUUCGGAAUAACUCCCCGAAAGGGGUGCUAAUACCGGAUAAUGUCUUCGGACCAAAGAUUUAUCGCCUUUGGAUGGGCCCGCGUUGGAUUAGCUAGUUGGUAGGGUAAAAGCCUACCAAGGCGACGAUCCAUAGCUGGUCUGAGAGGAUGAUCAGCCACACUGGGACUGAGACACGGCCCAGACUCCUACGGGAGGCAGCAGUGGGGAAUAUUGGACAAUGGGCGAAAGCCUGAUUCAGCAAUGCCGCGUGAGUGAUGAAGGCCUUAGGGUUGUAAAGCUCUUUUACCCGGGAUGAUAAUGACAGUACCGGGAGAAUAAGCUCCGGCUAACUCCGUG